GACGAACGCUGGCGGCGUGCUUAACACAUGCAAGUCGAACGGUGAAGCUCCAGCUUGCUGGAGUGGAUCAGUGGCGAACGGGUGAGUAACACGUGAGCAACCUGCCCCUGACUCUGGAAUAAGCGCUGGAAACGGCGUCUAAUACUGGAUACGAGAAGGGUCCGCAUGGGCACUUUCUGGAAAGUUUUUCGGUUGGGGAUGGGCUCGCGGCCUAUCAGCUUGUUGGUGAGGUAAUGGCUCACCAAGGCGACGACGGGUAGCCGGCCUGAGAGGGCGACCGGCCACACUGGGACUGAGACACGGCCCAGACUCCUACGGGAGGCAGCAGUGGGGAAUAUUGCACAAUGAGCGAAAGCCUGAUGCAGCGACGCCGCGUGAGGGAUGACGGCCUUCGGGUUGUAAACCUCUUUCAGCAGGGAAGAAGCGAAAGUGACGGUACCUGCAGAAGAAGCACCGGCUAACUACGUG
rnacentral:rRNA from 1 species